AUUGGAGAUAGGUUCUGCCAGAUUGAUGAAGAAAGAAGAAGGUUUGAGUUGCAGCCAGGGGUUGUAGAGAGGCUUCAAGAAGAUGAGGAAUGGCGCCAGACGAGUUCUCUCAUCACGGAGCAGAGAAUUUAUGGUAGACACCAGGCAUUAGAGACUAUUGUAGAGGGUGCAGAGGAAAAGGCUUUUAAGUCCUUGAAGAAGCUGACUUUGUUCCGGUUGCCAAAUUUGGAGAGGAUGCUGAGAGAUGAAAGAGCAGACUAGCAGAGAUGCUCCCACUUCUUUCUGAAUUAAGCAUCUCAUGUGUCCCCAAAUUAAAAUUGCCUCACCUUUCGAUCUGUUUCACAACUUCAAAUUCAAGGAUUGAGGUCUGUAUUUGAUUAUAAUGGUAUUACUAGAUGAACUUGAGUCUCUUUCAGAGAAUGUGUUGCAAGGUCUGAGUUCUCUUCGAAUUUUGAAGAUUAUGUGCUGUGAUAGAUUAAAUUCCUUGACAGAAGGUAUGAGGCACCUAAUGCAUCUUGAGCGCCUUGAGAUUUGGGCUUGUCCAGAGCUGGUAGCUCUGCCAAGUAGCAUGAAUCAGCUAACUUCCCUUCUUGAUGUUACAAUAUUUGGUGAGGACAAUAACCCUAUCAUACCAGAAGGGUUACAAUACAUCCCUUCCCUCCAAAUUUUGACUCUAUAUGAUGUAGAUUCAUUGCCAGAGUGGUUGGGACAUGGCUUCUCUUCCACAGUUACACAUUGGUUUGUGUCCUGAGUUAAGGUCACUGCCCAGUGGCUUUCGGCACCUGACCAACUUGCAUAAGCUAUACAUUAAUGAGUGCCCGAAGCUUGCAAAGCAAUGCAAGAGAGAAGCUGGGGAAGACUGGCAAAACAUUGCUCACAUCCCACAUUUCGAAUUGGUUGCAAUGCAGUAAGAGACAUUUUGUGAUAAAAUCAGUACUAAAUGGAAUCCAAGGAAGUCAACCAGAGAUCAGAGUUAUUAUCUCACUCCAGAUUACGAAUUUGACAGAAUGGUUGAUCAGCUCUGAGUGAAAAGCAAAUAGAUGGAACCAAUAUUUGCACAUGUCAUUGCCAUGUUCUGCAACAUAAAGAAUUUUACUUGUGGACGAGGCGACCAGCCACUGAAACAAUGAAUAAAAAGAAAGGGCAAAAUGAAAAGCUAUACCAUCUUACUGAUAUGACAGAUAUAGUAUGUAGACCAUAAGUAAAACCUUUUUCCUCUAUCAAGAUUCCAACAUGACUUUAUUGGAUCUGGAAGUGCACAUAUUUGGAGUAGCAUUUGGCUGUACGAUACAAAAGCAUCGCCUACCUAUCAUAUUCUCCCCCUUAAUAAGCAAAGUCGGCUCUUGUGAUUGACAUAUAUCUAAUUUAGUUUUCUAGGUUAGUAUUAGAUUGAUUCUAUCAUUAUGUAUAAAGUUUGUAGGCUCAUCCAGUCGUAUACAUUUCAGACUGAUCAAUUAUAUAGAAGUUUUCUUUGUUUUCCUAAUUUCCUUUCAUAACCAUAACCUAUCAUUUUCUAUGAUGAUUAGCCAU